CCUACGGGAGGCAGCAGUGAGGAAUAUUGGUCAAUGGGCGCAAGCCUGAACCAGCCAUGCCGCGUGCAGGAAGAAUGCCCUAUGGGUUGUAAACUGCUUUUAUUUGGGAAUAAACCUUUCUACGUGUAGGAAGCUGAAGGUACCAAAUGAAUAAGCACCGGCUAACUCCGUGCCAGCAGCCGCGGUAAUACGGAGGGUGCAAGCGUUAUCCGGAAUCAUUGGGUUUAAAGGGUCCGCAGGCGGAUUUAUAAGUCAGUGGUGAAAUCCUAUCGCUUAACGAUAGAACUGCCAUUGAUACUGUAGGUCUUGAAUUCGGUCGAAGUGGGCGGAAUGUGUAGUGUAGCGGUGAAAUGCAUAGAUAUUACACAGAACACCGAUAGCGAAGGCAGCUCACUAGGCCUGGAUUGACGCUCAGGGACGAAAGCGUGGGGAUCAAACAGGAUUAGAUACCCUGGUAGUCCACGCUGUAAACGAUGAUUACUCGUUUUCGGCGAUAUGCAGUCGGAGACUAAGCGAAAGUGAUAAGUAAUCCACCUGGGGAGUACGAUCGCAAGGUUGAAACUCAAAGGAAUUGACGG
rnacentral:rRNA from 1 species